AAAAGUACUUUGAAAAGAGAGUGCAAGAGAACGUGAAACCGAAGUAAUGGAAGCGAAUGGAGUUGACGUAUCUGAUGCGUAUUCACUUGCCGCGCUGCGGGAUUGCGUGCGUUGGUCCUGUGGGCCGGCGUCGUAGUGCUCCAGUGGCGUGGUGGGGCAUUUGCGUAUGGAGUGCGGUGGAUCGCGCGGUGGCGAGGGUUGAGUGCGCGUCGAGAGGAUUGCUCCUUCGGGGGCAAAACCCGCGGUGUGUUGCUCUGGCCUUUUGUUGCUGCGUGUUGUUGUGGGGGUGCUUUAUGCGUGCUGUCGGGCCGAGUUCGCUUGGCGUACUCGCUACACAUGUGUGGCUUGUGCGUCGGUGGGUUCGGUGUGGUGGCGUGCACGGCGACCCUUCCGCUGUAUAGUCAAUGACCCAUUCGACCCGUCUUGAAACACGGACCAAGGAGUUUAUGGUAUGCGCGAGUCAUUGGGCCUUACGAAACCCAUAGGCGUAAUGAAAGUGAGACUCGUUUGAGUUGUAAUGUGAGCGGUGGGCGUAGACGUACUUGUUGCGGAUGCGGUAGCCGCGCAACAUUGCCCCGUUUCGUGAACUUGUUCUGUUGCGGAGGUUGAGCGUAUGCUGUGAGACCCGAAAGAUGGUGAACUAUGCCUGAACAGGAUGAAGUCAGAGGAAACUCUGAUGGAAGUCCGAAGCGGUUCUGACGUGCAAAUCGAUCGUCUGAUUUUGGUAUAGGGGCGCAAGACUAAUCGAACCAUC
rnacentral:rRNA from 1 species